rnacentral:rRNA from 1 species
GGUGAAAUUAGCGCUGUGGAACCACCCGAUCCCAUCCCGAACUCGGAAGUGAAACGCAGCUGCGCCGAUGGUAGUGUGGCUCAAGCCAUGCGAGAGUAGGUCAUCGCCAGGG